rnacentral:rRNA from 1 species
UACGUAGGGGGCUAGCGUUAUCCGGAAUUACUGGGCGUAAAGGGUGCGUAGGCGGCCCAACAAGUCAGAGGUGAAAGGCUACGGCUCAACCGUAGUAAGCCUUUGAAACUGUAGGGCUUGAGUGCAGGAGAGGAGAGUGGAAUUCCCAGUGUAGCGGUGAAAUGCGUAGAUAUUGGGAGGAACACCAGUUGCGAAGGCGACUCUCUGGACUGUAACUGACGCUGAGGAACGAAAGCGUGGGGAGCGAACAGG